CUGAAUUUUUCUCUUCUAUUCAUCCUGCUCUCUGUCUCCCUUGCAGUCCUUUCUGUUCUGACUCUGACCCCUGUCUCCUGCCCAUCAUUUGGUCAGCCCUGCUACCCCAACCACUCACUGCCCCUACCCCAACCUCUAUUCCUGGCUCUUAGCUCCCAGCCCGAGCUCCCCUUGGCCCUGUCCCCCACCUUCCCCAUACAUUUGCAUUAAAUAUCAGUUAUCAUAUUCCUUUCUCAUCUGUGUCUGCACCUGUGUUCACCUGUUUUGUAGCCCCCAAUAACAGCUAAACCAAAACAGGGAAUUGUCCUUAUAGAAAGUGAAUUAAAGAAGAAAAUUUAAAUAUUAUCUGAGAGACCUGAUAAAGCUCGUCUUUGAUGAGGUGUUAUUGACCCACCAGACUAUCCUCACACUGAGAAACCAUCAGAGAAGAAGCAAUCACUGGACCCGACCACUUUCUCCUGCCCUGUUUCCUGCAGUCUGUUGGGGGCCAAGGUCAGUCUCUUCUGUGGGUUCCACCCACAGUCCAAUGGCCAAACUACGCAGAUGAAUCAGGAGAUGGAGACU